rnacentral:lncRNA from 1 species
ACUACACGCCGUACGUUUCUGUCUCUUGCCGUUUUUAUGUCCGCUUAAGAAAAUUUCAAGUCUUGGCUUUAGAAAAGUUCAAGAAUUGGUGAUGUUUUCAUGGGCAAUGAAACAGCCGACGAUUGGAAGCGGAUAAUAUUUGAAGACGUACCUGAGCCUAAUUCACUGCCUUUCGAUCUUAGUGCCAAACAAGUGGAUAUUUGUCCACUAAAUCUUAGUGCUAAGCCAGUGGAUCUCAGUGCCAGCCGUCUUCGGUAUUCAGCCAGUCAACCAACUGAAACUCAGCUAGUCAACCUGUCCUCGGGCAACGCGCCUACUCCAUCGGCUACAUUAAACCUGCCUUCCGCUGGGGUUUUAAGGGUUGAUCGUUCAAAGUUUCGUGAUCUUUCAUCAGAACAUCAAUCCGGAUCGUCCAAAAAUUCCUUUUAAAAUUGGAAAUUGGGUUUCGCGGAACCGCUGUCAAACACAACUCGACAUUCUGAUUGACGAGGCGCUCUGCCUGUACUCCAAAGAAGAGGACGGCUACAAAAGAGCCAUGAAAGCAGAGAAAGAUGCACAAAACCAGAUAGCAUGGGAAAUGUCAGCGGAACAGCCAACGUUAGAUAUGUGCAUGAGUAUAUUUAUGGGGGCUAUUUACCUUGGCCACAUUAACGACGCCAUUAGGUGGAUCCGGAUUGACAUACAAGACGCCAUUCUAUACAGACAGAUGAAGAAGCAUGUGCUUAUUCUUGAGCAACAAGAUGUAUCUGGUUUCCCACGCCCGGAUCCCAACAGUAGUGGCCGUGCCGUUGUCAAUUCCACAACGUUAUUCCGCAUAAUGGUUGAGAAAGCCAACAGCGAAGGACUGGCCGGCAAACAGGACGACACCAGUUUCGAUGGAAAAAUGCACUUGAAUGUUCGGAAACCGGAAGUCUCAUCAACAUAGAGGGGUCAUACCAGCCUCUAUUUGUGCGUCUCCAUUGAAUUUACGCCGUUUACGCUUUGCAUUGCGACUAUUUCCUGACGGCGUCUGGACCUGAAACCACACGAGUCAUCGGAACCACGCAGCGGUGACAUUAAAGAGAAAGAAAAACACACGAAAAAUCUUAAUAUAAAAACAUUUUUUAUUGUCAUGAAAAGCUAGGUAAAGGUACCCGUCACAGACAUAAAAGAUUAAAAACGGACAUUGACGGCUUCAAAUGGCAUAGUUAAUACAAACAAGUAUUGUUCUCGCUAGAAUACACUCCCCGGCGUAAUAGCAUGUUUUGCCACUAGAGCGCCGUGGAUCCACAGUGCAAUAGCACUAUGUGACACUAGAGCGCCGUGGACUCCACGGUGCAAUAGGCGUGACCCUGUCUUAAACUAUUAAUGCCGCCAAUAUAAAAGAUAAUGAUGUGCCCAAUGCAGUGGUAAACAACGAACAUGAUGUACACCCGAGUCCCCCCCCCCCAAAAAAAAGGCGCAAAAAAUAAUAGUACCACAACGAAAUUGGUUGUGCGCUUACUGUCAUCUAGAAAUGUCAUUUUUCAACGCAAAAUAAGUGGGAAGGAUGGGUGAUAAGCAUAUUGUUUACAGUGGCGGUUCAACCCGUCGCCCGUCCCGUAAAAAAAUGCUUCGGUGGGUUGAUAUUUUUUUGAGGUUUUUUUUCCUUUAGCCCGAACAGUGGCCCGGGUUUUCAUGGCCCGGGCCACAGCCCUAAUUGAGAACCACGAACGUGAAAAGCCGUCGAAAAUUCCUUUGAUUUACGAACGCGCCUGCUAAUAGCAGAAAAAAUGGGCAAUCCCUUGAUGUAGCUAUUCACGGCAUGUUUCUUAUCACUUGGUGUCCUUACCAAUUGUUGUUUUUUUCUAAUUUUUCUUCUUUUUGUCCUCACGAAUUUGGUUUAUCUAAUUGAAACCAACCCAGCAUACCAGUUUAAAGGUACAAACACAUUUACUUGCUUUUUCCAAGAAGUACUAAAAUAUUUCCAUUUUUAAGUUAAUUCAUAGACAGCAUGCUCAACCAGCAAACAUUUUUUAAAGAGAAAUUUGGCAAAUAAUGACAAAUUUUUAUGUAUAAAACGGGUCAUAUGAGUGAAAUUUUGAAAAUUUAGUCGCCCUUUAGCGUUACUCAGCAAAAAAGUUCGCUAACUUACAGGCUGACAGUUUUGCGUUCCUUUUUUAAGUGCCAGCUCCUAUGUAAUCUUUUUUUUUCAAUCGAUAU